GAUGUACUCCUUCGUCCAGAAAUACUUCUCAUCAAAAUGAAUAAAAGGGGAUGUAUCUAGAUGUAUUUUAGUUCUAGAUACAUUCCGUUUUAUUUAUUUCGAUGACAAGUAUUUUCGGACGGAGGAAGUAAAUU
rfam:Triticum aestivum genome assembly, contig: Triticum_aestivum_CS42_TGACv1_scaffold_577575_7BL